rnacentral:rRNA from 1 species
UAGGGAAUCUUCCGCAAUGGACGCAAGUCUGACGUAGCAACGCCGCGUGAGUGAAGAAGGAUUUCGGUUCGUAAAACUCUGUUGUUAGAGAAGAACAGCGCAUAGAGUAACUGUUAUGCGUGUGACGGUAUCUAACCAGAAAGCCACGGCUAACUACGUGCCAGCAGCCGCGGUAAUACGUAGGUGGCAAGCGUUGUCCGGAUUUGUUGGGCGUAAAGCGAGCGCAGGCGGUCAAUUAAGUCUGAUGUGAAAGCCCCCGGCUCAACCGGGGAGGGUCAUUGGAAACUGGUCGACUUGAGUGCAGAAGGGGAGGGUAGAAUUCCAUGUGUAGCGGUGAAGUGAGUAGAUAUAUGGAGGAACACCAGUGGCGAAGGCGACUCUCUGGUCUGUAACUGACGCUGAGGCUCGAAAGCGGGGGUAGCAAACAGG